GAUCAUGGCUCAGGAUGAACGCUAGCGACAGGCUUAACACAUGCAAGUCGAGGGGCAGCAUAAAAGUAGCAAUACUUGGUGGCGACCGGCGCACGGGUGAGUAACGCGUAUGCAACCUACCUAUCAGAGGGGAAUAACCCGGCGAAAGUCGGACUAAUACCGCAUAAAACAGGGGCACCGCAUGGUGAUAUUUGUUAAAGAAAUUCGCUGAUAGAUGGGCAUGCGUUCCAUUAGGUAGUUGGUGAGGUAACGGCUCACCAAGCCGACGAUGGAUAGGGGAACUGAGAGGUUGGUCCCCCACACUGGUACUGAGACACGGACCAGACUCCUACGGGAGGCAGCAGUGAGGAAUAUUGGUCAAUGGGCGGGAGCCUGAACCAGCCAAGUCGCGUGAAGGGAAAAGAAGGAUCUAUGGUUCGUAAACUUCUUUUGCAGGGGAAUAAAGUGCAGGACGUGUCCUGUUUUGUAUGUACCCUGAGAAUAAGGAUCGGCUAACUCCGUGCCAGCAGCUGC
rnacentral:rRNA from 1 species